UAAUUCUUGACUGACGUCAUUUCGCCCAAAUAAAAUAAAAACUUAUUUUACAAAUAAUUAAAUAAUAUUUUAAACCACAGUUGCGAUGGCCGAUCCGAAAUACGAGAAUCUGCCCGGAAUAGCAUACGACCAGCCCGAUGUGUAUGAAACUGGCGACUUACCUGAGGCUGACCAGCCAGACACUUUCGAAGAGGAGGAAAACGAAUGCAUUGAACAAUUACAUCUUUCUGUAAAGGAUUCCUUCAAUAAGUUCAAAGGGAAGUUUUUGACUGGUAACGUCGACUUUUCGGACAGACUAAGCCGGAAAACUAGGAUCGGGUACAGGUCUGGAGAAUGGGAGCUGGCAGCAGAGGGGGAGCCUGAGACUCUUAUGGAGAAGUACAACCGCCUGAGGUGCGAGUUCUCUGAACUUCUGGAGCAAGUUACAGACCAGCAGAACAAGGCUUCUGAAAGUGAAAAGGAUGAAUUUGAAAAGUUAGCAGCGCAAAUAAACUCCACAAAAAAGCUGGUGGAGGAACUGAAGCUGGAAGAAGGAGAGCUGAUUGACCCCAAAGCUGAGAAACUUAAGGAAUACUUAGCUGCCACAAGCCGAAAGCAGGGUAAUAUGGUGACCACGCAUCUGAAACUCAAACCUGAGGUGAAUCUCGCGCAGACAACCAGGAUAGCACAACUUGAACACAGGUUACACAAAUUGGAACAGGCGGCUGGUGUGAGAGAUGAGGAGUCGUUCAGAAGACUGCAGGCGGCUACUGGUCAGGCCACGCUGUGCGGCGCGGCGUCCACAUUGGCUGCGCAGGCGUCGCUGCUGCGCGCCGCGGACAUGGCGGCCGCGGAGGCGCGCGUGGCGGGGCUGCUGGCCAACGUGGACGCUCUGAAGGCCGCCGUCAGACCUUCAGACCCCGAGUUGGAUGCAAAGGUCAACGAGUUACACAAAUUGUUCAAACAAAUAGACGGAAUAUCACAUUCGGAGAUUUUAGAGCGUAUGGAGGCGUUGGAAGCGUUACAUAAUCAAGCCAGCAAUUUCGGCAAAUCCCUGACCGAGCUGGAAACACUGCAGAGCACGAUAGCCAGCGGCGUCCAGAACAACAAGGAGCUGCUGCAAGGUGUUCAAGAAGUGUUCGCACACAACGUCGAUAGCCUACAGAGAGAAAUCAAAAAGUUGGACGAGCGGGUUACACAGAUCAGUCAGAAUGUUAAAUCGUAGUUGUAUAUGUUGCCAGCAUUAUUCACUUUGAGAGCCUAAACAGUUUGUACGUGAAUUCUUUAAGAGAUGAAUGCAGUAAUAGUGUGUUGAUAUAUGUAUAAGGUGGAUUUUUUUUCUUUUAUGUUUAUAAUUGCACUCGGAUGACAAAGGGCUAGUUCUAUUUGAAUCUGCAUUCGAAACGUGUGAUCUUUCAGUCUUUUCAAGACUGUUGGCUCUGUCUGCCCCAAAAGGGAUAUAGACGUGAUAAUAUGUAUGGUAUCAAUUAGACUACCUAAUGAAGACCUUAUGUAAAGAUUAUUCCACUAAUCGACUUACUAUUGCUACAUUUGCUUUUUACAAGUUUACGCUCCGUUCAAUGGCAUGACUAUGAAACCAGUCUUAGAUAAACUAUAUAAGAGAAAAUGCUUUCAGAAAAGGUUUUGAAUUAUAUCGAUCCCCUCGAUUUCGCCCGCUGCGAAUAGCUUCAUCCGAUGAACCCUUUUUAGGUUUACUACAAAUUUUAUCUUAUCUAUUCCUUCACUUUGCUAGGUAUGUAAAUUUUAAUUUAGUAGUAGUUAAAGAGGAAUUAAUAAAUAAAUAUGUACGGGACAAACAAGAGACAAAGUAAA
rnacentral:misc_RNA from 1 species